GGGACUUCGGUCCCUGAGUAGAGCGGCGGACGGGUGAGUAACACGUGGGUAAUUUGCCCUUCAGUGGGGGACAACCACCCGAAAGGGUGGCUAAUACCGCAUACGUCAUGAGGAGCUGCGGCUCUUCAUGGGAAAGCUGGCCUCUGAAUAUGCUGGCACUGAAGGAGAAGCCCGCGGUCCAUCAGCUUGUUGGUGAGGUAAUGGCUCACCAAGGCAAAGACGGAUAGCUGGUCUGAGAGGAUGAUCAGCCACACUGGGACUGAGACACGGCCCAGACUCCUACGGGAGGCAGCAGUAGGGAAUAUUGGACAAUGGGCGAAAGCCUGAUCCAGCCACGCCGCGUGAGUGAUGAAGGCCCUCGGGUCGUAAAGCUCUGUGGGGAGAGACGAAACCUUGGCGGUUAAUACCCGUCGAGUUGACGGUAUCUCCUUAGCAAGCACCGGCUAACUCCGUGCCAGCAGCCGCGGUAAUACGGAGGGUGCAAACGUUGCUCGGAAUCAUUGGGCGUAAAGCGCACGUAGGCGGUCUGAUAAGUCGGAUGUGAAAGCCCUCGGCUCAACCGAGGAAGUGCAUUCGAAACUGUCAGACUAGAGUACGGGAGGGGGAUGCGGAAUUCCCGGUGUAGAGGUGAAAUUCGUAGAUAUCGGGAGGAACACCAGAGGCGAAGGCGGCAUCCUGGACCGAUACUGACGCUGAGGUG
rnacentral:rRNA from 1 species